UACGGGAGGCAGCAGUGGGGAAUAUUGCACAAUGGGCGCAAGCCUGAUGCAGCCAUGCCGCGUGUAUGAAAAAGGCCUUCGGGUUGUAAAGUACUUUCAGUCGUGAGGAAGGUGUUAAGGUUAAUAACCUUAGCAAUUGACGUUAGCGACAGAAGAAGCACCGGCUAACUCCGUGCCAGCAGCCGCGGUAAUACGGAGGGUGCGAGCGUUAAUCGGAAUUACUGGGCGUAAAGGGCACGCAGGCGGUUAAUUAAGUUGGAUGUGAAAUCCCCGGGCUUAACCUGGGAAUGGCAUUCAAGACUGGUUAGCUAGAGUCUUGUAGAGGGGGUAGAAUUCCAUGUGUAGCGGUGAAAUGCGUAGAGAUGUGGAGGAAUACCGGUGGCGAAGGCGGCCCCUGGACAAAGACUGACGCUCAUGUGCGAAAGCGUGGGGAGCAAACGAGGAUUAGAUACC
rnacentral:rRNA from 1 species